AGUCACUGACAUUAGAUACCCCUGUAGUCCAGGGUGUAAACGCUGCAGACUUGGUGUUGGGAACCCUUCGGGGGUGCUCAGUGCCGGAGAGAAGUUGUUGAGUCUGCUACUUGGGGAGUACGUCCGCAAGGAUGAAACUUAAAGGAAUUGGCGGAGGAGCACCGCAACGGGAGGAGCGUGCGGUUUAAUUGGAUUCAACGCCGAAAAACUCACCAGCAGCGACUGUUACAUGAAAGUCAGGUUGAUGACCUUACUAGAUUUUCAG
rnacentral:rRNA from 1 species